rnacentral:rRNA from 1 species
UACAGGGGGUGCAAACGUUGCUCGGAAUUAUUGGGCGUAAAGCGCGCGUAGGCGGCUUUGUAAGUUAGAGGUGAAAGCCCGGGGCUCAACUCCAGAACUGCCUUUGAUACUGGCGAUCUCGAGUCCGGGAGAGGUGAGUGGAACUGCGAGUGUAGAGGUGAAAUUCGUAGAUAUUCGCAGGAACACCAGUGGCGAAGGCGGCUCACUGGCCCGGUACUGACGCUGAGGUGCGAAAGCGUGGGGAGCAAACAGG